rnacentral:misc_RNA from 1 species
UAAUGUUCCUAAUUUGGAAGAGUGGGAGGCAUUAGAACAGGAAGCUGGUGAUGGAUCAAACGCCCAUUCAAGGAUCCUUCCCUUGAAAGAGAUGAGCUUGAAUAUUAUCCCUGCAGAUGAUCAAUCUGAAGAUGGUUCAACUGUAGCUGAAAAUGAAACACAUUUUGAGAAGCAUGAAGAUGUUGAACAUGGUUUGAGGAAACAUAGGAGAUAUCCGAAGAAGAAAAAGGAAGUAAGUAUUGAAGGGAAGAAGAUGGUAGCUGAUGGAAUUGAUGCAUCUAAGGGGCAAUUUGAUGAUGAUGCUGGUGAUUGGAUGCCUGCUGUUAGUCGAAGUACUCAUCGAAGAUAUCUUAGAAGGAAAGCUAGACGUGAAUAUUAUGAGGCAUUAUCUGAAAAAGAUAGUCAGCAAGAUCUGGAGAAAAAUAUGAAUAGCAACAGUUCUAAUGAAACUAAUAUCCUAGAUCCACUAUUUCAUCGAAAUUUUGAGACUAUAGAUGCUGGAAAUGGGAUUUCUAAGGAGGGUGAGGCGAAGAAUGAUGACGGUGGUCUUACUUCAAUACUAAACCUAAUGAGGCUGGAAGAAGGUUCUUUGAAUGCUAUUCAAGAAGUGAAAGAAGAGAACAGCACCCUUGCAGGGCUUGAGUUUACUAAUUCUCUGGUGAUGGAAGCUUCUUCUGACAACAACGCAAAUUCUGCUCUUGAAGCCAGUGAAGUUGAUAUUGUCAAUGGUGAACUAGAUCACCAGGAGAUCUUAAGCCAAACCAAUGAAAGUAUUGAUGUGUCACAUGUGGAUGAUGAUGAUAGUGAGCAGAGCUGGACGCUUAAAUCCUUAUCAGAGUCCAGUGUAGCCUGUUUAACUAGUGACUUUGCAAUGCAGAAUGUACUUCUGCAAAUGGGAUUACGACUAUUGGCACCUGAAGGAAAGCAAAUCCGCCAGUUGCACAGAUGGAUAUUGAAAUGCCAUGCGUGCUACACUGUGACUGCUGAAAUUGGGAGAAUUUUCUGUCCAAAGUGUGGAAAUGGUGGCACUUUACGGAAGGUAGCCGUUACAGUUGGAGAGAAUGGAAUCAUUUUGGCAGACCGUCGGCCACGAAUCACUCUGCGAGGUACAAAAUUUUCAUUGCCUUUACCGCAAGGUGGAAGGGAUGCCAUUGCUAGGAAUCUUAUUCUGCGUGAAGAUCAACUCCCAAAAAAAUUCCUAGCAAUGGCAUCCCUUCCACCAGAAAGCAAAUAAAGAGGGAGAUGAUUUCUUUGCUUCGGACAACAUCUUCAACCACCAUA